UGAGCACGUCCCAUUUGUUACUGUAUGUUUGAAACGUCACAGCUGUUCUGGUAGCUAAUCAUAUGUCAUGUUACUUGAACCGCAGUUUCUACCAUCAUAGGAGGAACUAACGUUAGCUAGCUUUACAUGCCACACUGAAUAAUAGGUAAACAUUCUGGUGAAAUCGGAAGAUUUAACUUCACAGAUAGGGGCGAUCAAGUAAGGUAAACGUAACCAUGGAGGAACCAGGUGCUGAUAUAGAGGUGACUGUCAAAACUUUGGACUCCCAGAGCCGAAGUUACACUAUAGGCGGACAGUUGACAGUGAAAUAGUUCAAGGAGCACAUUGCCACUUCAGUUGGGAUUCCUGUGGACAAACACAGACUGAUCUACCAGGGCCGAGUCCUGCAGGAUGAGAGGACCCUGACAGAGUACUUAUCUUGGCAAAUGGUACUUCGUUGCAGCGGCUGGUGUGAAGGAGUCGGAUGUGCAGAUGUUCAGACAGAUGGACAGCACUGUGUUUCACCUGAAUGAGACCUCUGAAAAGACACUACUGUGGCUCUGCACUUUAUACAGAGCCUAAACAACAAAAAAUGUGCCGCUGUCCCAAUACUUUUGGAGCUCACUGUAUGUGUGAACAAAACUUGAGCAAAACUAUGUUAGCCCAUUGAAUAAUGAAUUCCCUGUUGGUUUGACACAGGCAGGCCUGAGCGGCAAACUCUAGUGGGGAGUGGAGAGUGGCUGAACUGCAACCAGUGUAUCCUGCUGCAGGAGAUAGAGCGUCACUUGGAUCCACUAGAGACAAACGACACCCUCAGCAGAUUCAUGCUUUACGCUCGUGACAGUGCCUUAUUGGAUAAUAAAGUGGUGUAGGCGUUUCGGACCCAAACGGCUUGUAAAAAUAUGGAUCGAUUUGUACAUCUCCCUCAAGAGAAAGGCUGCCUGCUAUUUGUUGGAGUCUUCAAUCAAGAUCAUGCUGUGCAUCGAAAUAGGUUUCCUUUUGAGAGUUUAUUAUUAGUGUAUUGCCCACUCUAACUUUGAUCUAACUCAGAAUCGUGGAACUAAUUCAAAUGAAGAACUCUCCUCUCAUUUCCCAUGUGUAAUAGUAAAACAAAUAAACAGAAAAAAAGAACAGCUAUUCAAAGUCUAUUCCAAAAGUCUCAGAAUGUUUAGAAUAGCACUAGUGACCCAGGUGUAGACUUCUAAGCAAUUUCCAUCGCUCAUUUAAACUUGCAGUGACAUGGCACACAGUUAUCAAGUUUUCGAAGAAGGGCCUAUUUCCAGGCAAAUAUUUCACUUUCAAGCAUUUCUCUUUUUGUGAGGGAUGACCUAACUGUCAUGGUUCACCGAACUGCAUUGUUCCACUCUUUUCGCAUACCUCCAUCAAUGGAGGCUGCUGAGUGGAGGAUGGCUCAUAAUAAUGUCUGGAAUGGAGUCAAUGGACUGGUAUCAAACACCAUUGCCUCCAUUCCAGCCAUUAUUAUGAGCAGUCCUCCCCUCAGCAGCCUCCGCUGGCCUCUAUCUAAAUAACAUUCAUCAAUUUAGAAAAUAAUCCAGGGCUAGUUUACCGGGGGAGUAGCCGCCCACGUAGUUACACUUACAAUGCAGGGGAAAUUCCCAUGAUGCUGCCGACAGAGCAGAGGCUCAGAGCACAACUAGGCUCGUUCACAACUAGAGUGGUCAUCCACAGUUCUCUUCUUCAUUUGCUCUAAUGUAAUAAUACACAGGGUGACUGGAAGCAGAAACGGUGACAUUUGCUUUCACCUGUCCUUUUAUUUCUUGUAAGGUUAUUUCUUUGACCUGCAGUUCAAAAUCAAGAAAGUCUGGGUAUAUGAAGGGGUAGGACUAGGCCUUUGGGGUGCAUUGGAUGCAUUGUACUUGUCAUUUCUAUGUCUUAAAUACAAUAACAUUUGAGACCAGACUCCCCUGGUCCUAUAAAAACACCAACAGUAUACACUACAUUGCCAAUAAAUCUUUUCCUAUACAAGA